rnacentral:rRNA from 1 species
UUUAAAUGGCCGCAGUAUCCUAACUGUGCAAAGGUAGCAUAAUCAUUAGUCUUUUAAUUGAAGGCUGGUAUGAAUGGUUGGACGAGAUAUUAACUGUUUCAUAUAAAUUUAUAAUAGAAUUUUAUUUUUUAGUCAAAAAGCUAAAAUUUAUUUAAAAGACGAGAAGACCCUAUAAAUCUUUAUAUUUAAAAUAUUAUAUUUUUUUAGAAUUAUUUUAAUAUAAUAUUUAAUAAUAUUUUAUUGGGGUGAUAUUAAAAUUUAAUAAACUUUUAAUUAUUUAAAUCAUUAAUUUAUGAAUAAUUGAUCCGUUAUUAACGAUUAAAAAUUUAAGUUACUUUAGGGAUAACAGCGUAAUUUUUUUGGAGAGUUCAUAUCGAUAAAAAAGAUUGCGACCUCGAUGUUGGAUUAAGAAAUAUGUUUAGGUGUAGCAGCUUAAAUAAUAAGUCUGUUCGACUUUUAAAUUCU